UGGGGAACAGCAAUUUCCGGUACACCAAGAUUAGUAGAAAUACAUAAUUUGAACAAAUGUCGAUAGUUAUAAAUUUGUCAUUAUUACCAUCGUUACUACAAUGGUGUGACAAAAUUAAUACAGUAUAAAAC